GGUUACUGCUGUCGAGGUUCGACUAAGCCAUGCGAGUCGAAUGUAGCAAUACAUGGCGUACUGCUCAGUAACACGUGGACAACCUACCCUUAGGCCUGGGAUAACCCCGGGAAACUGGGAAUAAUACCGGAUAUAUCGCGAAUGCUGGAAUGCGUCGCGAUAGAAAGCUCCGACGCCUAAGGAUGGGUCUGCGGCCUAUCAGGUAGUAGUGGGUGUAAUGUACCUACUAGCCUACGACGGGUACGGGUUGUGAGAGCAAGAGCCCGGAGAUGGAUUCUGAGACACGAAUCCAGGCCCUACGGGGUGCAGCAGGCGCGAAAACUUUACAAUGCUGGCAACAGCGAUAAGGGGACCUCGAGUGCCAGGAUACAAUCCUGGCUGUCAUAAUGCCUAAAAAGCAUUGCAUACAAGGGCCGGGCAGGACCGGUGCCAGCCGCCGCGGUAACACCGGCGGCUCGAGUGGUAACCGCUAUUAUUGGGUCUAAAGGGUCUGUAGCCGGCUGACUAAGUCUCUUGGGAAAUCUGGCAGCUUAACUGUCAGGCUUUCAGGAGAUACUGAUCGGCUCGAGACCGGGAGAGGUGAGAGGUACCUCAGGAGUAGGGGUGAAAUCUUGUAAUCCUUGAGGGACCACCAGUGGCGAAGGCGUCUCACCAGAACGGAUCUGACGGCAAGGGACGAAAGCUAGGGGCACGAACCGGAUUAGAUACCCGGGUAGUCCUAGCCGUAAACGAUACUCGCUAGGUGUCGGCCACGGUGCGACCGUGGUCGGUGCCGUAGGGAAGCCGUGAAGCGAGCCACCUGGGAAGUACGGCCGCAAGGCUGAAACUUAA
rnacentral:rRNA from 1 species